rnacentral:rRNA from 1 species
AGAGUUUGAUCCUGGCUCAGGACGAACGCUGGCGGCGUGCCUAAUACAUGCAAGUGGAACGCUGAAGAGAGGAGCUUGCUCUUCUUGGAUGAGUUGCGAACGGGUGAGUAACGCGUAGGUAACCUGCCUUGUAGCGGGUGAUAACUAUUGGAAACGAUAGCUAAUACCGCAUAACAAUGGAUGACACAUGUCAUUUAUUUGAAAGGGGCAAUUGCUCCACUACAAGAUGGACCUGCGUUGUAUUAGCUAGUAGGUGAGGUAACGGCUCACCUAGGCGACGAUACAUAGCCGACCUGAGAGGGUGAUCGGCCACACUGGGACUGAGACACGGCCCAGACUCCUACGGGAGGCAGCAGUAGGGAAUCUUCGGCAAUGGGGGCAACCCUGACCGAGCAACGCCGCGUGAGUGAAGAAGGUUUUCGGAUCGUAAAGCUCUGUUGUAAGUCAAGAACGAGUGUGAGAGUGGAAAGUUCACACUGUGACGGUAGCUUACCAGAAAGGGACGGCUAACUACGUGCCAGCAGCCGCGGUAAUACGUAGGUCCCGAGCGUUGUCCGGAUUUAUUGGGCGUAAAGCGAGCGCAGGCGGUUUGAUAAGUCUGAAGUUAAAGGCUGUGGCUCAACCAUAGUUCGCUUUGGAAACUGUCAAACUUGAGUGCAGAAGGGGAGAGUGGAAUUCCAUGUGUAGCGGUGAAAUGCGUAGAUAUAUGGAGGAACACCGGUGGCGAAAGCGGCUCUCUGGUCUGUAACUGACGCUGAGGCUCGAAAGCGUGGGGAGCGAACAGGAUUAGAUACCCUGGUAGUCCACGCCGUAAACGAUGAGUGCUAGGUGUUGGAUCCUUUCCGGGAUUCAGUGCCGCAGCUAACGCAUUAAGCACUCCGCCUGGGGAGUACGACCGCAAGGUUGAAACUCAAAGGAAUUGACGGGGGCCCGCACAAGCAGUGGAGUAUGUGGUUUAAUUCGACGCAACGCGAAGAACCUUACCAAGUCUUGACAUCCUGCGACGAUGCUGGAAACAGUAUUUUCCUUCGGGACGCAGAGACAGGUGGUGCAUGGUUGUCGUCAGCUCGUGUCGUGAGAUGUUGGGUCAAGUCCCGCAACGAGCGCAACCCUUACUGUCAGUUACUACGCAAGAGGACUCUGGCAGGACUGCCGUUGACAAAACGGAGGAAGGUGGGGAUGACGUCAAAUCAUCAUGCCCUUUAUGACUUGGGCUACACACGUACUACAAUGGCGUUAAACAAAGAGAAGCAAGACCGCGAGGUGGAGCAAAACUCAGAAACAACGUCCCAGUUCGGACUGCAGGCUGCAACUCGCCUGCACGAAGUCGGAAUUGCUAGUAAUCGUGGAUCAGCAUGCCACGGUGAAUACGUUCCCGGGCCUUGUACACACCGCCCGUCA